GCGCCUGUAGCUCAGGGGAUAGAGCAUCGGACUUCUAAUCCGAGAGCCGCAGGUUCGAAUCCUGCCAGGCGCGCCA
rnacentral:tRNA from 1 species